GACGAACGCUGGCGGCGUGCUUAACACAUGCAAGUCGAACGGAGAGGCCCUGCUUUUGUGGGGUGCUCGAGUGGCGAACGGGUGAGUAACACGUGAGUAACCUGCCCUUGACUUUGGGAUAACUUCAGGAAACUGGGGCUACUACCGGAUAGGAGCCCCUGCUGCAUGGUGGGGGUUGGAAAGUUUCGGCGGUUGGGGUUGGAUUCGCGGCUUAUCAGCUUGCUGGUGGGGGAGUGGCUUACCAAGGCUUGGACGGGUAGCCGGCCUGUGAGGGUGACCGGCCACAUUGGGACUGAGAGACGGCCCAGACUCCUACGGGAGGCAGCAGUGGGGAAUAUUGCACAAUGGGCGGAAGCCUGAUGCAGCAACGCCGCGGGCGGGAUGACGGCCUUCGGGUUGUAAACCGCUUUCGCCUGUGACGAAGCGUGAGUGACGGUAAUGGGUAAAGAAGCACCGGCUAACUACGUG
rnacentral:rRNA from 1 species